GAUGAAGAACGUAGCGAAAUGCGAUAAGUAAUGUGAAUUGCAGAAUUCAGUGAAUCAUCGAAUCUUUGAACGCACCUUGCGCCCUUUGGCCAUUCCGAAGGGCAUGCCUGUUUGAGUAUCAUGAACACCUCAACUCUUCAUGGUUUUCCGUGAUGAGCUUGGACUUUGGGGGUCUUGCAGGCCUAUGGUCAGCUCCUCUAAAAUAAAUCAGCUUGCCAGUGUUUGGUGGGUAUCACAGGUGUGAUAACUAUCUACGCUUGUGGUUUUCCACCAGGUAACCUUCAGCAGUGGAGGUUCGCUGGAGCUCACAGAUGUGUCUCUCCUCAGUGAGGACAGCUCUUUGAAUGUUUGAUCUCAAAUCAGGUAGGACUACCCGCUGAACUUAAGCAUAUCAAUAAGCGGAGGA
rnacentral:misc_RNA from 1 species